UAGAUCUGCUCCAGAGUACCACGAGACACGUGAAACCUUGUGGGAAGCAGGGAGGACCACCUCCCAAGGCUAAAUACUAACUGGUGACCGAUAGUGAAGCAGUACCGUGAGGGAAAGGUGAAAAGAACCCCGGGAGGGGAGUGAAAUAGAACCUGAAACCGUGUGUCCACAACCGGUCAAAGCACUUUUACGUGCGAUGACGUGCUUUUUGUAGAACGAGCCAGCGAGUUACGAUAUGUAGCAAGGUUAAGCACUUAAGGUGCGCAGCCGAAGGGAAACCGAGUCUGAAUAGGGCAAAAAGUUGCAUGUCGUAGACCCGAAACCGGGUGACCUAUCCAUGGACAGGUUGAAGCGGAAGUAAAAUUCCGUGGAGGACCGAACCACGUUGGUGUUGAAAAACCAUGGGAUGAGCUGUGGAUAGCGGAGAAAUUCCAAUCGAACCCGGAGAUAGCUGGUUCUCCUCGAAAUAGCUUUAGGGCUAGCGUUUUGAAUGAGUAAUGGAGGUAGAGCACUGAAUGGGCUAGGGGCUGACAACAGUUACUGAACCCUAUCAAACUCCGAAUGCCAUAUACUUGAAUCAAAGCAGUCAGACUACGAAUGAUAAGAUCCGUGGUCAAAAGGGAAACAGCCCAGAUCAUCAGCUAAGGUCCCAAAGUGUAAGUUAAGUGGAAAAGGAUGUGGGAUUUCUAAGACAACUAGGAUGUUGGCUUAGAAGCAGCCACUCAUUCAAAGAGUGCGUAAUAGCUCACUAGUCGAGAGAUCCUGCGCCGAAGAUGUUCGGGGCUAAAACUUACCACCGAAGCUAUGGGCUCGAAAGAGCGGUAGAGGAGCUUCCUGUAUGGAUUGAAGUCGUACCGAAAGGAGCGGUGGACUGUACAGGAGUGAGUAUGCUGGCAUAAGUAGCGAGAAAUAAGUGAGAAUCUUAUUGGUCGAAAACCUAAGGUUUCCUGAGGAAGGCUCGUCCGCUCAGGGUUAGUCGGGACCUAAGCCGAGGCCGAAAGGCGUAGGUGAUGGACAAUCGGUUGAUAUUCCGAUACCGCCAACUGACGUUAUUACAAAUGGGAUGACGCAGGAGGAUAAGAUGUGCGCACUAUUGGAUGUGCGUCUAAGCACUUAGACAUGUUCGACAGGCAAAUCCGUUGAACUUAGUUGAGGUGUGAUGGGGAGCCCUUUCGGGCGAAGUAUCUGAUUCCACGCUGCCAAGAAAAGUCUCUAUGGAGGAAGUUGGUGCCCGUACCGCAAACCGACACAGGUAGGUGAGGAGAGAAUCCUAAGACCAGCGGAAGAAUUGUUGUCAAGGA
rnacentral:rRNA from 1 species